ACUUAAAGUGCUGAGACUGAUGUGAACCUUCUAUCUGUACACCCAUUCUACCUGCCAUUACACCCCACGUGCACUCUGCAGUAGAGGUUGGAUGGGUAGAGCUCGACUGUAAGCUGGCGGUGGUCCAUGGACCAUAACUGACGAAUCCUCCCUGGUCUCCUCCGAUCUUGCUGUAGAUCUUGACAAUGUCUCCUUCUCUGAGUGACAGCUCCCUCAUGUCCCGUGCUGCAAAAUUGUACCUGGCCACCGCUGUGCUGACCACCCUCGGUGUGAACACUGCAACAAUGACAUCAGAGUCAGUGAGAUAACAGUGCAGAGAGAGCAGACACAUUGGUGUUCCACAGGUAACUUACAGAUCCUACAGUGCAGAACAUUUAC